CACGUAGGGUGCGAGCGUUGUCCGGAAUUAUUGGGCGUAAAGAGCUCGUAGGCGGUGUGUCGCGUCGGCCGUGAAAACCUGCAGCUUAACUGUGGGCUUGCGGUCGAUACGGGCAUCACUGGAGUUCGGCAGGGGAGACUGGAAUUCCUGGUGUAGCGGUGAAAUGCGCAGAUAUCAGGAGGAACACCGGUGGCGAAGGCGGGUCUCUGGGCCGAUACUGACGCUGGAGGAAGCGAAAGCGUGGGGAGCAAACAGG
rnacentral:rRNA from 1 species